rnacentral:rRNA from 1 species
AGCGUACACGGUGGAUGCCCUGGCAGUCAGAGGCGAUGAAGGACGUGCUAAUCUGCGAAAAGCGCCGGCGAGGUGAUAUGAACCUUUGACCCGGCGAUGUCCGAAUGGGGAAACCCAGUGCAAUCCGUUGCACUAUCGUUAACUGAAUACAUAGGUUAACGAGGCGAACCGGGGGAACUGAAACAUCUAAGUACCCCGAGGAAAAGAAAUCAACCGAGAUUCCCCCAGUAGCGGCGAGCGAACGGGGAGCAGCCCGGAGUCUGAAUCAGCUUGUGUGUUAGUGGAACGGUCUGGAAAGUCCGACGGUACAGGGUGAUAGUCCCGUACACGAAAGCACACAUGCUGUGAACUCGAAGAGUAGGGCGGGACACGUGGUAUCCUGUCUGAAUAUGGGGGGACCAUCCUCCAAGGCUAAAUACUCCUGACUGACCGAUAGUGAACCAGUACCGUGAGGGAAAGGCGAAAAGAACCCCGGCGAGGGGAGUGAAAAAGAACCUGAAACCGUGUACGUACAAGCAGUGGGAGCCUCUUUAUGGGGUGACUGCGUACCUUUUGUAUAAUGGGUCAGCGACUUAUAUUCUGUAGCAAGGUUAACCGUAUAGGGGAGCCGAAGGGAAACCGAGUCUUAACUGGGCGUUAAGUUGCAGGGUAUAGACCCGAAACCCGGUGAUCUAGCCAUGGGCAGGUUGAAGGUUGGGUAACACUAACUGGAGGACCGAACCGACUAAUGUUGAAAAAUUAGCGGAUGACCUGUGGCUGGGGGUGAAAGGCCAAUCAAACCGGGAGAUAGCUGGUUCUCCCCGAAAGCUAUUUAGGUAGCGCCUCGUGAACUCAUCUUCGGGGGUAGAGCACUGUUUCGGCUAGGGGGCCAUCCCGGCUUACCAACCCGAUGCAAACUACGAAUACCGAAGAAUGUUAUCACGGGAGACACACGGCGGGUGCUAACGUCCGUCGUGAAGAGGGAAACAACCCAGACCGCCAGCUAAGGUCCCAAAGUCAUGGUUAAGUGGGAAACGAUGUGGGAAGGCACAGACAGCCAGGAUGUUGGCUUAGAAGCAGCCAUCAUUUAAAGAAAGCGUAAUAGCUCACUGGUCGAGUCGGCCUGCGCGGAAGAUGUAACGGGGCUAAACCAUGCACCGAAGCUGCGGCAGCGACNGAAGGUGUGCUGUGAGGCAUGCUGGAGGUAUCAGAAGUGCGAAUGCUGACAUAAGUAACGAUAAAGCGGGUGAAAAGCCCGCUCGCCGGAAGACCAAGGGUUCCUGUCCAACGUUAAUCGGGGCAGGGUGAGUCGACCCCUAAGGCGAGGCCGAAAGGCGUAGUCGAUGGGAAACAGGUUAAUAUUCCUGUACUUGGUGUUACUGCGAAGGGGGGACGGAGAAGGCUAUGUCAGCCGGGCGACGGUUGUCCCGGUUUAAGCAUGUAGGCGGAGGUUCCAGGUAAAUCCGGUACCUUGUUAACGCUGAGGUGUGAUGACGAGGCACUACGGUGCUGAAGUGAUAAAUGCCCUGCUUCCAGGAAAAGCCUCUAAGCAUCAGGUAACACGAAAUCGUACCCCAAACCGACACAGGUGGUCAGGUAGAGAAUACCAAGGCGCUUGAGAGAACUCGGGUGAAGGAACUAGGCAAAAUGGUGCCGUAACUUCGGGAGAAGGCACGCUGAUAUGUAGGUGAAGUCCCUGCGGACGGAGCUGAAAUCAGUCGAAGAUACCAGCUGGCUGCAACUGUUUAUUAAAAACACAGCACUGUGCAAACACGAAAGUGGACGUAUACGGUGUGACGCCUGCCCGGUGCCGGAAGGUUAAUUGAUGGGGUUAGCGGCAACGCGAAGCUCUUGAUCGAAGCCCCGGUAAACGGCGGCCGUAACUAUAACGGUCCUAAGGUAGCGAAAUUCCUUGUCGGGUAAGUUCCGACCUGCACGAAUGGCGUAAUGAUGGCCAGGCUGUCUCCACCCGAGACUCAGUGAAAUUGAACUCGCUGUGAAGAUGCAGUGUACCCGCGGCAAGACGGAAAGACCCCGUGAACCUUUACUAUAGCUUGACACUGAACACUGGUCCUUGAUGUGUAGGAUAGGUGGGAGGCUUUGAAGCGUGGACGCCAGUCUGCGUGGAGCCAACCUUGAAAUACCACCCUUUAAUGGCUGGUGUUCUAACGUAGACCCGUAAUCCGGGUUGCGGACAGUGUCUGGUGGGUAGUUUGACUGGGGCGGUCUCCUCCCAAAGAGUAACGGAGGAGCACGAAGGUUGGCUAAUCCUGGUCGGACAUCAGGAGGUUAGUGCAAUGGCAUAAGCCAGCUUGACUGCGAGCGUGACGGCGCGAGCAGGUGCGAAAGCAGGUCAUAGUGAUCCGGUGGUUCUGAAUGGAAGGGCCAUCGCUCAACGGAUAAAAGGUACUCCGGGGAUAACAGGCUGAUACCGCCCAAGAGUUCAUAUCGACGGCGGUGUUUGGCACCUCGAUGUCGGCUCAUCACAUCCUGGGGCUGAAGUAGGUCCCAAGGGUAUGGCUGUUCGCCAUUUAAAGUGGUACGCGAGCUGGGUUUAGAACGUCGUGAGACAGUUCGGUCCCUAUCUGCCGUGGGCGCUGGAGAAUUGAGGGGGGCUGCUCCUAGUACGAGAGGACCGGAGUGGACGCAUCACUGGUGUUCGGGUUGUCAUGCCAAUGGCACUGCCCGGUAGCUAAAUGCGGAAAAGAUAAGUGCUGAAAGCAUCUAAGCACGAAACUUGCCCCGAGAUGAGUUCU